rnacentral:rRNA from 1 species
UACGUAGGGGGCAAGCGUUGUCCGGAUUUAUUGGGCGUAAAGAGCGUGUAGGCGGCUUUACAGGUCCGUUGUGAAAACUCGAGGCUCAACCUCGAGACGCCGGUGGAAACCGUAAAGCUAGAGUCCGGAAGAGGAGAGUGGAAUUCCUGGUGUAGCGGUGAAAUGCGCAGAUAUCAGGAAGAACACCGGUGGCGAAGGCGGCUCUCUGGGCCGGUACUGACGCUGAGGCGCGAAAGCGUGGGGAGCGAACAGG